CUAAAUGAUAUUAUCUCUCCAUUAUCUUCUCCACUUCGUGACUUUUUAUGUUUCUCACCCAGCAACAGUGACAUUUGCAGAUCCAGUCACAUGUACAAAUCCAAACAAAACUAAUAAAACCAAAUACAAUUAAUAAUCUAAUACAGUAAUAAUAAGUAAAGCAACCAUGAAAUUACAAAAGAUUAAAGAGUUAUUUCGAGAAAAAAAAGAGUCAUUUCAAAAUAAACGAAAAAGAGAGAAAUCAGAGCAAGUAAAUGAGUUGGCUGGCUAGUGAGGGAGCAAUGGAAGGAACAGUAGCGGCAGAUCGGCAGUAUCAGCCACCGGUAGAUGAAGUUAAGAUUUGGGUGUGUUGGUUUGUCCAUUCGUGGUUUUGUGCAGCUGAAAGUGAGAGAUUGGU
rnacentral:lncRNA from 1 species